CACGGAGGGUGCAAUCGUUAUUCGGAAUCACUGGGCGUAAAGCGCGCGUAGCCGGUCUCUUAAGUCAGAUGUGAAAGCCCGGGGCUCAACCCCGGAAGUGCAUUUGAAACUAAGGGACUUGAGUAUGGGAGAGGGAAGUGGAAUUCCUGGUGUAGCGGUGAAAUGCGUAGAUAUCAGGAGGAACACCGGUGGCGAUGGCGACUUCCUGGACCAAUACUGACGCUGAGGCGCGAAGGCGUGGGGAGAAAACAGG
rnacentral:rRNA from 1 species